rnacentral:antisense_RNA from 1 species
CUUCACCGAACCCAGGUACAGCGGCUGCCCGUCCGGACGGUCCUGGCCGUAGGUGGCCAGCAACGCCUGCGCCUC